rnacentral:rRNA from 1 species
AUGGCGGCGGCAGACGGGCCGGGGCGACGCCGGCAGCAGGAGAGGCCGGGACGGCUCCCCAUCGUCGGAGCAGCAGGAGAGCGAGGCCCGUCCGAAGUUCGCCGCGAAUCGGCCGCGGGAGAAGAGACAGGCGCGGGAGGAGGCGUCGGAGCCUGGCCCUCACGCGCAGAGCAAACGGAGGUCGAGGCAGAGCAGCAGCAACCGGAUGAGGCCACAGCACCGGAGGACUGCCGAGGAAGAAGCGGGCGGCGGCGCCGCGAGCCCACCCGCGAGCGCGAACGGGAGACGCCCAUCUCCUCACAUGAGGCACGCAGCAGAGCAGGGGCACCGGAUCUGGCCUCGGCGGCCGCUGGGGGAGGAUGGCUGGAGCGGAUCUAG